AUGUAACGAUGUGCUCUCAGCUCUGGACACCACCUUUCCCUUGGAGACAUUUCUGCUACCAGAAAGGGUGAGGGUUGCAGGUCAGCGCUCCUGGCCCCGGGGCACAGCUUGGCGAAGAGCUAUAUUGUUCAGAAUUCUUUUGUAUUCCUUCAGAACAUUGUUCUUCAAGAUAUAUGGGAUCGGGUUUCAGUUAAAGUACAAGAAAACAUGUAGAGGCUCAGAAGUACCAAACAGAACCCUGGUGACAAAAAUUCUGAAAUAUUUUCAUAGAAGAAAUUUGGGACAAGCUCCUGCUUCUGAGAUAUAUCUCGAGUUCACUCUUCUUUGUCUAAUGCAUUAUGGACUUGGAUUAAUUAGAACAAAUAUGAUUUGCAUUGCCGAUCUCUAAAUACCUAAAAAGUAUACUUCAUAACUACUAUUGAAAUGAUAAUAUUGCUAAUAAACUUAUGCUUAUGUAUCUGUCCUUGUAAAAUCUAGAUUGCUUUGUUAUUUCUGGGGCAGCACACAAAGCUUUUCAAUAUUAUUUCAAGUUAUUUUUUUUUUUCAAUCAGCGGUUGCCUGUUUGACAUUUAGAAAAUGCUAGUUAAUGAUAUUUACUUUUAUUCGGUGAAAACAAAGUGGUUUUGACACAGCUGGUCAUUCUGGUGCUUGGGAGAUAAACUAAAUGACUUGUUAC
ensembl:antisense Gm9017 predicted gene 9017